rnacentral:lncRNA from 1 species
AAGAUAUCAAGCAAAGUUUGGCAACACUGAAAAAUGCAGUCCAUUUUAUACAUGACUGUGUCUUGGUUCAUAAGACUCAAUGACCGGUUCAGAUUUCCUGGGCCAUCUUUCUAAAUUAUGCUAAAAUUAUGCUAAGCUACUUUAAAAUGAGAUGAAGGAUAGUGUGUGAUAACGCUUAAAAAAAAAAAAUCCUUCAAGUGAUGGUUCUCAAUCAGGGGUGAUGUUGCCCUUGGGGAACAUAAAAGACAAGAUAAAUGUGGUUUUUGUUUGUGAAUCUCUUUCACUCCUAUGUGAUUUAAAAGACAACUGCGUAAAGCAAUAAUUAUAAAUCUCUGUGGACGGGCACAUAAAGUAUAAAGAUGUAAUCUUUAUGACAAGAUGAGCACAAAGGAGGAUGGGAAAGGAGAGCCACAGCAGCAAAGGGUUUGUAUGCUCUUGAAAUUAAGCUGGUACUAAGGCAAACCAGAUGGGGAUAAGUUUGUUCACUGCAGACUGCAGAGCAACCACGAUGUUAAGUUUUACAUAACUUUUAAAAAAAAGAGAGAAUCGAAAUGUACCCUAGAAAAUGUCUCGUGAACAUCAAAGAUGACCGUGUUGGAGGAAGAGGAACAAAAGAAGAACACAGAUUUGUUUCUUUUUAUUUAUUUGAUUUCACAGACAAGUGAAAACAUACCCUAUAAGAUACCUAAGUUAUAAGGAUGUCACGUACCGCCCAGGGACUCCAGCUCAUGGCUGUUAGAACCCUGACAUACAGUUUGAGCGACACAAUUAUCGAAUCACUAUGGCGUACACGGGAACCUCACAGAAUGUCGAAAGAGAGCUAAUGACUUCAAUAAAAAAAAUAAAUGCAGACAGAGGAGAGUCUUCCUUAGAGGAGAAUGGCAGUUAAUAAACACACAUCAAAGAGUCAGACAAGGAAAAGAAAAUGGAGACAACAAAUAGCAAAAUGCCACAUAUGAAUCCUCUCUAAUAAGAGUAAUAUAUGCAAAUGGUCAAACACCCCAGGUAAAAGGUAAACACGGGCAGAAUGGAUGAAAAAAAGAAAAACCACAUGAUCCAACCAUGUGCUAUCACUAGACACACCAAAGACUGAAAGGCACAGAGAGGGUGAAAGGAAGAGAAUGGAAAAGACGUCCAAUGGACACAGUAACCAAAAGAGAGUCAGACUGGCCACAUCAGACAAAGGAGACGGAAGAGAAACAUUUCUAUGAGAAAGAAACAUUUCUACCACAAAGAAACACCUUCAAUAGAAACAUUUUAUCAUGAUAAAGGGGUCCCUCCAUCAAGAGGAUGCCAUUAUAAACACAUAUGAACCUAACAACAAAGCCCCAAACACAUAAAACAAAAACUGACCAAGCUGAAGGGAGAAAUGGUUGUGGGAGACUUUGAUGCCACACUUUCAGUAAUGGACAGAACAGCUAGACUGAAUAUUAGCCAGGAAUAUGCCACACCGGCUUUAAAACCCUUAACUACCUAAAGACCAUAAACCAGUGAGAGGGGAUGAUAUGAUGACACAGUCCAUCCAACCAUGAGGAAAUAGGCAUUCGUCUCAAGCUCAAAAGGAGCAUUCUCCAAGACAAUAUGUUAGGCUACAAAACAAGUCUCAGUAAAUUCACAGAUGAUCAAACUCAUAGCAAAUAUUUCCCUGACCAACAAUGGGAUGAAAUGAGAACUCAGUCACGAAGGAAAUGUGGGGAAGUCACCCACAUGCCAAAGCUAAACAACACAUGCUUAAGCACUCAAUGGUCCAAAGAGAAAUUAUAAGGGACGUGGAAGAUAUAUGGGGAUAAUGAAAACACAAGCAUACCAAAAGGCACGGGAUGCAACAGAAGCAGUGUCUAAUGUCCAUGGACAGAUGAGUGAAGAAAGAUGGGGUACAUGCAUAACAAUCGAAUACGACUCAGCCACGAAAAAGAAUGAAGUAAUGCCAUUGGUAGCCAUACAGACAGACCUAGAGAUAACAUUCCAAGUGAGGUGACUCAGACAGAGAAAGACAAAUGCCAUAUUUCUGACACAUGGAAUCUAAAAUAGGACACAAAUGAACUUAUCCAGGAAACAGAAACAGACCCACAGACUUGGAAAACAGACUUGUGGUUGCCAAGGGGGAGGGGGUGAGAGGCAAUGGAGUGGGAGUUUGGGAUUAGCACAUGCAAACUAUUACAUACAGAAUGGCUACAUAACCAGGUCCUACUGUACAGCACAAGAACGAUACUCAAUAUCCUGAGAUAAACCCUAGUGGAAAAGAAUAUUUUUAAAAAGAAUGUAUGUACAAACAUUCCUAUGUACACAUAUAUUUAUACAUUCAUGUGUGUGUGUGUAUGCGUAACUGAAUCACUUUGCUGUACAGCAGAAAGUCCCAAAGGCUUCCUUCCCCAGCUGGGUCGAGAGCGGCCAUUCCUUUUCAAGACCUGCCUUCCACAGCCGUUCCCAUGACUCCUUCCUGCUACCUCCUCCUUCCUGUUACUUGAUCCCACCUGUUGGCAUUUGGGAUCUCUUACUGAAGGCACCCCAAGUCAGGGUCGGAAGUAGCAUGGAGACAGGGCCAAAAAUGGUUCAAACUGAGAACAAUGCAAAUCAUUCUAAAAUGCAGGACAUGCACUGAAAUGAAAACAGAGAGCGAGCACACAGUGCCCCUCCUUUAAAGAGACACAAGCCGUUGUGUCACAGGCGUACUUCCUCAGCUUUUAUGCAGAGUUUUGUACUUUAUGGUGUGGAUGUCGGGGGGGGCAGGGGGGGAGAAGUUCAGACAAGUCAACUGUAAAAAGAUGAGAGGGGUUAAGACUGGAGAAACUCGAGCUGUCAUCCUGUUGGCUCAGCUCCUCACUGCACAGCCCUGGGCAUCUACUCCCUCCCUGGCCUCUGUGGGUCGGUGACAUCUGUAAAAUGCUGGUCCAGAUCAUUUGGUCUCUUCACAGUAACAAAACCCUAAACUUCUGGGUGGAUUCGUUUGCUCUGACUGCCAUAACAAAGCACUGCAGACCGGGGGCUUAAGCAACAGCAAAGUAACUUUGUGAUGGUCCAGGGGGAUGGAGCCUCAAGUCAAGGGGUCAGCAGGGUAGGUCCCUCCUGAGGUCUCUCGCCAGGGCAUAGAGACGGCCGUCUUGUCCCCCGUGUCCUCAAAGGGUGUGUCUGUGUCCUGACGUCCUAAGGACCCCAGUCACAGUGGAUCUGGACCCACCCUAAUGGCCUUAUUUCACCUGAAUUACCUUUUUAGAGACCCUGACUCCAAAGGCAGCUCUACAGAGAUCCUGGGGGCUGGGGCUUCGACAUGGGGACUUGGGUGGGACAUACUUCAGCCCACAACACUGAGUGACAGAUUUGCAUCUACUUGGUAGGUCUUUCUAUCAAAGGCAAGGACAGCCAAUUAGAAUGGUCCUUCUGGGUUUUUUAUAGGCAGGCACUAAGAACAUAACCCGGAAACAAGGGUCAAGUUUUUUUUAAAGAACAGAGGUUUGCAUAACAUAAACUGGUUCACCUAUCUCAGAUUCUAUUUAACUUGACCCAGGAUUGCCGCCAAGAUAAAGAAAGAGUAAGGCGUGCCUUUGGGACUCAAAAGCAGUGACAUGGGUGCUUUCUCGACCCAAACAGGCAGAGUUUGGGCACCACGGGUGGAGCUCAACUGACCCAGCUCUCCUACGGCAGGGGGUCUGGGAGAGGAGGCAGCAAAAGUGCCCGCCCUAUUUUCAAAGAGCUCUCUCAGCAAAAGAUCUCCGAGGCCCAGGGAGUGCCGCUGGGGAGAUGCUGUCUCUUGCCCCCUCGUUGUCCAGGAGGCAGCAUCUCCCCAGCGGCACUUCCUGGGCCUCAGACACAGAAUGAAGGCUGGUUCCUGUUCAUUUCUGACUCGUGGAUAUAUGAUCUUAUACAGUGUCACACUAAGUCGGACAAAGUACACGGAAGAAACCCAUUGAUCAAACCCAUGGCAUCUUCGUGGCCCUGCCUAGGACGUGCACGGACGUGGGGCGUAUACUGGAAGAAGGCAGAAUUCUCAACAGGUUCAAAGAUGACUGGAUGCAGGUGGGAAGACAUUUAGCUAUGCAAGAAAUGCAAACUCCAAUCAGCUGGGUGGGAAAAGCUUUUUUUUUUCCCCCUAACGCAUAGGCACCUCUCAACUUCCAAAACAUUCACAAGAGACGUUUCAGGCAAGGCAGGUCAACUGAGUACGUUCUAGUGUGUUAUUUAUUAUUUUAUCACUUGUACUGUUUUAAUUGAAUUUGGCCUACUGGGAUGAUAAGGCUGUAAAUAAACUCUUAAAUACACGCCGAGAUGACUAAUUUUCACACGCAACUGAAGACAUUAUCACAACUCUACUGGAAGCGUCAAGGGAACUUUAUGUUUCUCGGCUGCACCCACAGCAGGCGGAAGUCCCUGGGCCAGGGGUCGGACCCGCUCCACAGCCCUGACCCCGCGGCAGCAGUGAUCACGCUGGAUCCUUAACCUGCUGAGCCACAAAGCAACGUCCCCACUCAUCACUUCUCUAAACUUCCUUUGUUAGGCGCGGAGGGAACGGCUGGGUAUUCAGAAAGGUUUCCUGUGUUGAUUGAGACGAAGGAACUCCUGGACAAGGAAAUACAAACUCCUAGCUGUAUAAAUGCAGCUACAAGAGCCUGAAGGUGUUUAAGCAGAUUAACAAAUGUGUAGACAGAGUCAAACACUGUUACGACCUCUUAAAAGUAGUGAUAAACAUCUAGAAUUGUCAGCAGACGAAGCAGACACUACGUGCUUAAGGGACAGGGAUGCUUCCGCGCCUUUAACGCAAACACCGAUGACAUUUUAAACCCCCGGCGCACAGGAGCCAACCCAGAACACGGAAUCACAUCAGUCAUAAGCUCCCGGGCGGGUCGGCGAUGCGCGUGAGAAAGGGCUGGAACCCAAGGGCACGGCGGGCGGAGAGCCGCUACGCAGGAUGGACUCGUGGUCCUGGCACCCCCAGAACGAGGGUCCCAGCAUCAGGGGGUGGGGCUAGGGGUGGCGGGGAGGUUUGGAAAUAAUAAGAUAGUUCGGCAGGUGCGGGAAGGGUACUCUGACCAUGGGCCUGACCAUCAAGCUUCCGUCUGGGGAAACAUAUUCCUGUGGUUAUCGAAGGGCUGGACACCUUGAUCAUUUCAGGCCCUCUGUUUACACACUAGUGUCCACGCAACGAGCGAUGGCGCAGACAAAGCUCAGGCAGCCGUCAGAGGAAAGAUCAGGGCCCCCAUGGUGACCCCUGCAAGAGUAACAAGAGUUAUGUACACGCUGGAUCAUAGGUUCCCAAGCUCCCACCCCCACCAUCUCCUUUCCAUCAAGUGGCAACUGCUGAUUAAGCCUAAUUGCAUCUC